AUGAACGCUAGCUACAGGCUUAACACAUGCAAGUCGAGGGGCAUCAGGAAGAAAGCUUGCUUUCUUUGCUGGCGACCGGCGCACGGGUGAGUAACACGUAUCCAACCUGCCCUUUACUCGGGGAUAGCCUUUCGAAAGAAAGAUUAAUACCCGAUGGCAUAAUGAUUCCGCAUGGUUUCAUUAUUAAAGGAUUCCGGUAAAGGAUGGGGAUGCGUUCCAUUAGGUUGUUGGUGAGGUAACGGCUCACCAAGCCUUCGAUGGAUAGGGGUUCUGAGAGGAAGGUCCCCCACAUUGGAACUGAGACACGGUCCAAACUCCUACGGGAGGCAGCAGUGAGGAAUAUUGGUCAAUGGGCGCUAGCCUGAACCAGCCAAGUAGCGUGAAGGAUGAAGGCUCUAUGGGUCGUAAACUUCUUUUAUAUAAGAAUAAAGUGCAGUAUGUAUACUGUUUUGUAUGUAUUAUAUGAAUAAGGAUCGGCUAACUCCGUGCCAGCAGCCGCGGUAAUACGGAGGAUCCGAGCGUUAUCCGGAUUUAUUGGGUUUAAAGGGAGCGUAGGUGGACUGGUAAGUCAGUUGUGAAAGUUUGCGGCUCAACCGUAAAAUUGCAGUUGAUACUGUCAGUCUUGAGUACAGUAGAGGUGGGCGGAAUUCGUGGUGUAGCGGUGAAAUGCUUAGAUAUCACGAAGAACUCCGAUUGCGAAGGCAGCUCACUGGACUGCAACUGACACUGAUGCUCGAAAGUGUGGGUAUCAAACAGGAUUAGAUACCCUGGUAGUCCACACAGUAAACGAUGAAUACUCGCUGUUUGCGAUAUACAGUAAGCGGCCAAGCGAAAGCAUUAAGUGUUCCACCUGGGGAGUACGCCGGCAACGGUGAAACUCAAAGGAAUUGACGGGGGCCCGCACAAGCGGAGGAACAUGUGGUUUAAUUCGAUGAUACGCGAGGAACCUUACCCGGGCUUAAAUUGCAGUGGAAUGAUGUGGAAACAUGUCAGUGAGCAAUCACCGCUGUGAAGGUGCUGCAUGGUUGUCGUCAGCUCGUGCCGUGAGGUGUCGGCUUAAGUGCCAUAACGAGCGCAACCCUUAUCUUUAGUUACUAACAGGUCAUGCUGAGGACUCUAGAGAGACUGCCGUCGUAAGAUGUGAGGAAGGUGGGGAUGACGUCAAAUCAGCACGGCCCUUACGUCCGGGGCUACACACGUGUUACAAUGGGGGGUACAGAAGGCAGCUAGCGGGUGACCGUAUGCUAAUCCCAAAAUCCUCUCUCAGUUCGGAUCGAAGUCUGCAACCCGACUUCGUGAAGCUGGAUUCGCUAGUAAUCGCGCAUCAGCCACGGCGCGGUGAAUACGUUCCCGGGCCUUGUACACACCGCCCGUCAAGCCAUGGGAGCCGGGGGUACCUGAAGUACGUAACCGCAAGGAUCGUCCUAGGGUAAAACUGGUGACUGGGGCU
rnacentral:rRNA from 1 species